GCCUACAGCCACACCACCCUGAAAGCGCCUGAUCUUGGAAGCGAACGAGGGACGAGCCUGGUUAAUACCUGGAUGGGAGACGGCCUGGGAAUACCAGGUGGCUUUUUAAC
rnacentral:rRNA from 1 species